rnacentral:rRNA from 1 species
GGGAAGAGUUUGAUCCUGGCUCAGAUUGAACGCUGGCGGCAUGCUUUACACAUGCAAGUCGAACGGCAGCACGGGCUUCGGCCUGGUGGCGAGUGGCGAACGGGUGAGUAAUGCAUCGGAACGUGCCCGUGUUGUGGGGGAUAACUACGCGAAAGCGUAGCUAAUACCGCAUAAGCCCUGAGGGGGAAAGCGGGGGAUUCUUCGGAACCUCGUGCGAUUGGAGCGGCCGAUGUCGGAUUAGCUAGUAGGUGAGGUAAAGGCUCACCUAGGCGACGAUCCGUGGCGGGUCUGAGAGGAUGAUCCGCCACACUGGGACUGAGACACGGCCCAGACUCCUACGGGAGGCAGCAGUGGGGAAUUUUGGACAAUGGGCGCAAGCCUGACCCAGCCAUGCCGCGUGAGUGAAGAAGGCCUUCGGGUUGUAAAGCUCUUUCGGCCGGGAAGAAAUCGCAUUCUCUAAUAUAGGAUGUGGAUGACGGUACCGGACUAAGGAGCACCGGCUAACUACGUGCCAGCAGCCGCGGUAA